UCUUCACACCAACUGUUCAUAUGAAGUUGAUCAAUUCAUUCUUCUAUUAAAUCAAUACUAGGUGGUCCUGAGGAAAACUAAAGAUAGAAACUUUUACUCCAUCACACGGCUCUCAACAACACCACCUAGAACCAAAGCCAUAUCCACUCUCUCUCUUUCUCCAAGUCUUAUUAGAGAUAAGAUCUAUCUCUUUCUUUCAAUUGUCUACCAAGCACAGGUAACUCUAUACCAUCGCAAAAAGCACAAGCAGAUUAAGAUCUGUAGCUCUAGCUUCUUGCAUCUAUUAUUGAAUCCCAGAUCUCUCUCUCUCCCCAGAUCUCUACAGGUUCAAAGGCGUUUUCUUCCAAAUCUCUAUCAUUCCAGAUCUCUCUCUCUCUCUCUCUCUGUGACCUUGCCAAAAUGCGGUGCUGGAUCCUUUGGUUGCUGUCAUUUCUCAAAGAACAGUUGGGUCCUUUUCCAUCAAGUGUUCACCACGGGACCAUAUCCAAGUAAAAUUGACCAAUCAAGAGUAUGAUUUCAGAAGAUGUAUGAAGGUUGAAUUGGCAGAAAGAGAUCGCUCAUCAGGAUCUUGCAGGGAUACUUCAAGUGUAGCAGUACUUCAAGUGUAGCAGUGUUAGAGCACAAUUCAUUAAAGAGGAAGCACACGGGUGAGCAGAAGAAGCAGAAGCACCGUAGGAGUGGUGGGGAUCAUGUCAAGACAAAGCAGAUUAAGGCGGUCCUCCGUGCCACUGAUUCUGAGUUUGGGGGUUUAGGGUUGAUGCCGAGGAAGAGCACAGUCCAGCAGAAGGAGAACGAUGGUGGAGUCGGUGUCCGGGAUCUGAAGAAAAGGCCGAUGGUGAUACAAGUUGCAGGCACUUCUAGUGAGGUUGGCAGAUUUUUCCGAGGCUUAAGAGGUAAUUGAUCAGUUCUAUAUUUGUAGCCAUUUGAAUAUAAGUUAAACCGGUUAUAUUUUUUCCUUCAACUGGACACUUGAAAUGAGUUCAAACUUGAUCAUUUC